AGAAAAGAAAGAAAAGGAAAAGGAAGAAGAAGAGGAAGAAGUCUGUCCAAUCUGUCUCGAUCCCCUUCCUCCUCCUUCUGGUUCCUCUUCCUCUUCUUCUUCGUCUUCCUC
rnacentral:ribozyme from 1 species